ACUUUCAGACUGACAUUGAGCCGACACGCGGCAGGACUCACGCUGCCGAGGAGACGACACGGAAACAACCUCAAGCUAGACCAUAACAAAACCGGAAUAACAGAAAAUAACGCUGCUCACAUACAAGAUAACCCGAAGCUUCGUAAAUAACCGGGAUACUUCGAACAUCUCAGAACACUUUUAAAACACUAACAAUCUGAGUCCGUGAAAAUCAAGGCGCAGCGCAUAACUCCAUCGUGAUGGUUUUGUUCAGUCUCUGUCGGCCUGGGGUUUAGUGACCAACGCAGGAACGUCACAUAGCCUAUUGAGUGUCGGGGAGGAAGCGGCGGUGACUGUUACUGUGAUCCUUUUCACGGGUGACCACUACUGUGCGAGGCGUUGGUGAGGUAAGGCGGCACGAUGCUUGCGGCGCAGGUGUUGUGCUUGUGUCUGUGGGCGGCGGCGGCGGCUGCUGAGGAGACGUUUGACCUCACCAUCCUGCAUCUGAACGACUUCCACGCCCGCUACGAGCAAACUACAGUGAUUACCGGGAAGUGUCCGAAGGAGGAGGAGGCCAAGAACAGGUGCUACGGCGGUUUUGCCAGGAUCAAGACCGCGGUGGACCAGGAGCGCGCCAAAAGCCCCAACGUGCUGUACCUCUCCGCCGGGGACUCCUUCCAGGGCACGAUCUGGUACUCGGAGUUCAAGUGGCGCGCCAUGGCUCACUUCCUCAACCUGGUGCCCCACGACGCCAUGUCGCUCGGUAACCACGAGUUCGACGAUGGGUUGCCGGGCAUCGUUCCCUUCCUGGAGAAUGUGUCGUUCCCCGUGCUGGCCGCCAACCUGAACGACACGCUGGAGCCGUCCAUUCAGGGCAAGUACAAGCGCUCGACCAUCGUGACGCUGUCGGGGCGCCGUGUGGGCAUCGUGGGCUACCUCACCGUGGCGACUCAGAUGAUCUCCAACCCCGGGCUCAUCGACAUCCACGACGAGGUGGUGGCGGUGCGGAAGGAGGCGCGGCGGCUGCGUCAGGAGGAGGGCGUGGACAUCAUCAUCGCCCUGGGCCACGCCGGGUUCGCCAAGGACCUGGAGAUCGCGCGGGACGUGGAGGAGGUGGACGUGGUAGUGGGGGGCCAUACCAACACCUUCCUCUACACAGGGAAGAACCCAUCGACGGAGGAGAAGAAGGGGGAGUACCCUUGGGUGGUGACGCAGGCCUCGGGGCGGCGCGUGCCCGUGGUGCAAGCGUACGCCUUCGGGAAGUACCUCGGGCGGCUGGUGGUGAGCUUCGACGAGAGCGGCGAGGCGGUGAGCUGGAGCGGCAACCCUCUCCUCCUGGACAACAGUGUGCCGCAAGACGAAGGCAUCCUGAAGGAGCUGGAGCCGUUCCGCAAGGAGAUGGAGGAGAAGAUGAAGAACCCGAUCGCGCGGACCUUCGUGUUCCUGGACGGCAGCCGAAAGUCGUGUCGCUUGGGGGAGUGCAACCUUGGCAACCUGCUAACUGACGCCAUUGUUCACGAGAAUGCCAAGUACCCGGACGACCGCAAGUGGGCGCUCACCAGCCUGGCGGUGCAUCACGGCGGCGGCAUCCGGUCCUCCGUCAGCCAGCUCGGUGACAAGGGCUCGAUCACCGUUGAGGACGUGCUGGCUUUUGCGCCCUUCCAGAACACCAUCGACAUCGUGGAGCUGCGCGGCGUCCACGUCAAGGAAAUGUUCGAAUUCUCCGCCCACAGGCUUGACCGUACAGGCAUAUUAAGGCCGGCAGAGUUCCUGCAGGUGUCCGGAUUCAUGGUGGUGUACGACCUCAACCUGCCGCCGGGCAGCCGCGUGGUGCGCCUGCAGGCCCGCUGCCUCGAGUGUGUGGUGCCGGGCCUCGAGGACGUGAAGGACGACGAGGUGUACCGCGUGGCCAUGCCUUCCUUCCUGGCCAACGGAGGCGACGGCUACACCGUCAUCAGGGACAACAAGAUCAACCACCACCUCACAGGUCUGUUGGACUCAGACGUCUACGUCAACUACCUGUCGCAGAUGUCGCCCAUCUACCAGGGCACCGAGAACCGCAUCCUCUUCAUCGACUCGGAGGAGCUGUGCGUCGGUGAGGGGAACCUGCUGCCCUCCACCACCUCCUACACGACCUCCCACAUCACGAAGGACGGUGGCGGGGCGGCCGGGGCGACGAGGGGCUCCCUAACACUGGUGGCGGCUUGGGUGGUGCUGGUGGUGGUGGCGGGGGCUGUGCGGGGAACAGCACUCUAGCGGUCCGGGGUGGGGGGUGCCUGGCCCCCCUCAGGGCGGGGGCCUUCCCUCCUCAGAGGUCACACAAUGUAUACCAAAAAGACAUGGCCGCCAGCCGCAGUGUCAUGGGCAUUCUUCCUCCAACAGUUAACUCUUCCCUCCCGCGGCGGCGGCGGGGACGGAGGGGCAUCACAUAUCACUGUACAUACCCCACACCAGAGACACGACAGGUGCAAUAGUCAGUGUAGCGACUCUCUCGGCACGAGGCUGCGGGCGGCCACGUGCCCGCCGCCCACACACCUGACCAGACACGCCCGCGAGCGGCAGGACGGGCCGACGCCUGACGCCCACACUGGACGGUGACAGUUCCUGUAGGAUGCCCAGCAGGGAGCAGAGCGCGGCCUCGGCAGGAGACUCGCUGCCUGACCAUUCCGCUACUGAGGACCUUUACCCACACCACUACGUGCAUUAUUAGUCACUACUAUAAGUCAUGAGCGCCACUGUGAGGACACACAAUAAACGUUUCCUCGCUGCUUCCCUC